AUGACGAUUCCUCAGCCCUCACAGCCGUCCUGGCCCGGCCCAAGCCCAAGCCCGGACCCGUUCGAGGAGGACCGCCUCGUCACCGACCGACGCGUUAUUAGCGAGGAGGCGAGCGGAAAAUCCUCGCCUCUUUCUUUCCCCUCCCCUCCCUCCCAAUCCGCCUCGAUCGCCCACGCAGCAGCCAUGGCGGAGAUCGUCGACCCGGCCGCCGCAGCCGCCGCGGGCGAGCCGGAGGAGCAGGAGGAGGCGCGGCCGCUCUCCGCCGCGGCGGCGGCCGCGGACGACGACGAGGACGACGAGGAGGAGGGGGACGUGUGCCGGAUCUGCCGCAACCGCGGCGACGACGAGCACCCGCUGCGCUACCCCUGCGCCUGCAGCGGCAGCAUCAAGUUCGUCCACCAGGACUGCCUCCUCCAGUGGCUCGACCACAGCAACUCCCGCCAGUGCGAGGUCUGUAAGCACGCGUUCUCUUUCUCGCCCGUCUAUGCUCAGAAUGCUCCAACCAGACUUCCUUUCCAAGAGCUUGUGUUUGGCGUUGGGAUGAAAGCAUGCCACGUGUUUCAGUUUGUCCUCCGGCUUGCGUUUGUUCUUUCAGUCUGGCUCAUGAUUAUCCCCUUCAUUACCUACUGGAUAUGGCGGUUAACAUUUGUGAGAAGUCUUGGUGAAGCACAAAGGCUGUUCUUGAGUCACAUCAGUGCUCAGUUGAUCCUUAGUGAUUGCCUACAUGGAUUUCUUCUCUCAGCUAUCAUUGUCCUUAUAUUUCUUGGAGCUACCUCUUUAAGGGACUAUAUAAGGCACUUGCGGGAACUUGGAGGACAUGAAGCUGACAGGGACGAUGCAGGCCGUGAAAGGCAUGGUGCCCGAGCUGUCAGAAGGCUAGCUGGUCCUAAUAACAGGGUUCCAGGUGCAGAUGGAAAUAUCGAUGACCUGGCUGAAGCCCAAGGACUUGGUGCUGGGGAACUUCUGAGGAGAAAUGCAGAAAAUGUUGCUGCUCGAUUGGAAAGACUAGAGGCCCAAGUUGAGCAGAUGUUAGAUGGUCUGGAUGAUGCGGAUGGUGCGGAGGAUGUUCCUUUUGAUGAACUUGUUGGUAUGCAAGGGCCAGUAUUUCACUUGGUUGAGAAUGCAAUUACGGUUUUGGCCAGCAAUGCUAUAUUCCUCAUUGUUGUGAUCUUCGUACCAUUCUCAUUGGGAAGGAUUGUCCUGUAUUAUCUAUCAUGGUUUUUCUCUUCAGCCUCCAGUCCUAUGCUGGCUAGGGUGAUGCCAUUUACGGAAUCUGCUAUUUCUUUGGCUAAUGAAACAUUGAAUAGUGCUUUUAAUGCCAUGAAGAAUUUCUCUUCCGACAGUCACAAUGAAGGUGUUAUUGGGCAUGUGAUUGAGGUGGUUACUCAGUCCUUGAAGAUAAAUGCCACUGGUCUUGCUGUAAUGCAGGGCACUGGGAAGAGCAGUCUGGUGAAAGGAACAGCUAUUGGCUCAUCUUAUCUUUCAGAUCUGACAACUCUUGCUGUUGGAUACAUGUUUAUCUUUUGCCUUGUGUUUUUGUACAUUGGAUCACUGGCUUUACUUCGAUACGCCCGUGGAGAACGUUUUACUAUUGGAAGACUCUAUGGCAUCGCUGCAAUUCUAGAGGCCAUUCCAUCUCUAUGCAGGCAGUUCUUUUCUGGAAUGAAGCAUCUCAUGACCAUGGUCAAAGUUGCUUUCCUUUUGGUGAUAGAACUCGGAGUAUUUCCCCUUAUGUGUGGUUGGUGGCUUGAUGUCUGCACUCUUAAGAUGUUGGGUACCACAAUUGCUCAAAGAGUUGAAUUCUUUACGAUGUCACCCUUGGCGAGCUCCUCAAUCCAUUGGCUUGUUGGGAUUGUAUAUAUGCUCCAAAUAAGCAUAUUCGUCAGCCUUCUUCGAGGGGUACUGCGGAAUGGAGUUCUUUACUUCUUAAGGGACCCUGCUGAUCCAAAUUACAAUCCUUUUAGGGACCUGAUCGAUGAUCCUGUGCAUAAACAUGCUCGACGAGUCCUUUUAUCUGUCGCUGUGUAUGGAAGCUUGAUUGUGAUGCUGGUCUUCUUACCUGUCAAACUGGCCAUGCGAGUAGCUCCUAAAACUUUUCCUCUUGACAUUACCAUUUUUGACCCUUUUACCGAGAUUCCAGUUGAUGUGCUUCUGUUCCAAAUAUGCAUCCCAUUUGCGAUUGAGCAUUUCAAGCCCCGGGCAACUAUUAAAGCUCUGUUGCAUCAUUGGUUCGCUGUGAUUGGCUGGGCACUAGGCUUAACAGAUUUCUUACUACCAAAACCUGAAGAAAAUGCUGCUGGGCAAGAGAACUGGAAUGGCAGGGCAGAAAGAAGAGAUAGAAUACACGGUGGGAUGGAAAUGGUAGCCCCACAGCUUGAGCAGCGUAUGAUUCAGCAUGCUGCCAUAGAUAAUGAUGGUAGGGGUAAUGCAAAUGAAGCCAAUGACGUUGCUGAAGAAUCUGAUGUGGAUGAUCAAGGAGAUUCAGAGUACAGUUUUGCACUCCGCAUCAUACUCUUGCUUAUACUGGCAUGGAUGACGCUACUCAUAUUCAAUGCUGGAAUGAUUGUUAUUCCUAUCUCACUUGGCCGUCUAGUUUUUGAGGCUGUUCCCCGCCUGCCAAUCACACAUGGCAUCAAGUGCAAUGAUCUGUUCUCUUUUAGCAUCGGUUGCUAUAUUAUCUGGAGUGCAGCAGCUGGAACCAGAUAUGCAGUCGACUACAUUAGAUCACGACGUCUGGGCUUCCUGGUACAACAGAUCUGCAAGUGGUGCUCUAUUGUCCUGAAGAGUUCCGCUCUCCUGUCAAUAUGGAUCUUCGUUAUCCCCGUGCUGAUUGGACUCCUUUUUGAGCUGCUGGUGAUUGUACCCAUGAGGGUUCCUAUUGACGAGAGCCCAGUUUUUCUGCUGUAUCAGGAUUGGGCACUUGGAUUAAUAUUCUUGAAAAUUUGGACUAGACUGGUGAUGCUGGAUCAAAUGGCACCUUUGGUUGAUGAAAGCUGGAGGAUGAAGUUUGAGAGAGUAAGAGAGGAUGGCUUCUCCCGCUUGAAAGGUCUAUGGGUCCUGCACGAAAUCAUAACCCCCAUCAUCACGAAGCUCCUUACUGCUCUCUGUGUCCCAUACGUUCUCGCAAGGGGCGUGUUCCCGGUGCUGGGCUACCCACUGAUUGUGAACUCGGCAGUCUACCGUUUUGCCUGGCUCGGGUGCCUGAUAUUCAGCACGCUCUUCUUCUGCGGCAAGAGAUUCCACGUUUGGUUCACCAACCUCCACAACUCCAUCAGGGAUGACCGCUAUCUCAUUGGCCGGAGGCUGCACAACUUUGGCGAGGACUCCCGCCGGUCGAACGAGCCCGAUGAGACUCCAGGUUCAUUAGAAGACGACCUUGCGCUGAUCCCUAUAGAUCAUCAGGACAAUGACGACGUCGGGCUGAGGUUCAGGGGCAACAACCGUCAUGAAGAUGCGGGGGUGGUUGUCGGUUAA
rnacentral:rRNA from 1 species